GAACGUUUGAAGGGUAGCUCUUGUAGUUGGUAUAAGAAAAAACAGGGUAGGACUAGUGGUGGGCUAAGUGAAUUGAAGGAGCUGAGCAAUCUGGGAGGAAGCCUUAUGAUCAGAAAUUUGGGACAUGAAAAAGAUGACAUAGUGGAAUGUAAAGCCACAAACAUGAAGGAGAAACAACAUCUUCAAGAGCUGCAUUUAUGGUGGGAUCGAGUAUGGGAUGAUGGAGAAACCAAAUUUUAUGAUGAAAUGUCAUUGGAAGGGCUCCAGCCACAUCCAAAUCUUCAAAUGUUGUGGUUAUCUUUAUAUAUGGGUGUGAGAAUUCCAAGUUGGGUCUCUUCGCUCACUAAUCUUGUCAAAUUGGUAGUAUUUAAUAAUAAAAGAUUGCAGCACCUCCCACCAUUAAAUCAUCUCCCUUUUCUCAAGUCUAUAUGUCUUUAAUUUAUGGCAGCACUUGAAUACAUAUCAGAUGAAGACUGUGUUAGUCAUGUGUUGAGUGGUUCCUCUUUUUCAAAAACACCAUUCUUCCCAUCCUUAUCUCAUCUUGAAUUAUGGAAUUGCUCAAAUUUGAAGGGGUGGUGGAGAAUUCAGAUGAUGAUGAUGAUAAUCAACCAAACCAUCUCUUACUUCCAUCAUUUCCUCCUUGUCUUUCUCAGUUAAAGAUUGUCGGAUGCUCUAACCUGACUUGCAUGCCUCUGUUUCCAUAUCUCAAAGAAGAUCUAAAAAUGGUUAGAGUUAGUUCAAAGGUAUUGCAACAGACAAUGAAAAUGAAAAUGGGAGCAACCACGUCACCCUCCUCGUGCUACUUUCCUCUCUCUCAAUUACAGUCUAUGGAGUUAUGUUCAGUCAAGGAUUUAGAAUCUUAUCCAGAGGAGUGGCUGCAAAACCUCGAUUCUCUCUGGAAACUCAAAAUAUACAACUGUGAAGAACUGGGUUCUCUCCCUUGGAUGGCCAACCUCACAUCACUACAACCACUUUCAAUUCAGGGUUGUCUCAAUCUUACUUCACUUCCUCAAGGGAUUCGCAAUACCACCUCUUUAAAGCAGUUAACAAUUGAGAAUUGUCCAAUCUUAUGGCGAAGAUGCUUGAGGCCUACAGGUGAAGAUUGGCCCAUCAUUUCUCAUGUCCCACGCAUGAUCGUGGAAUAUGAGAAAUAGCAAGAAGAAACAAAUUCUCCAAAAAUAGAGUGGUUUUUAAAACACGUCGAGAGGACUGAAUCUAGCAACUACCAUUGCAAGAAUUAGCUUAUUUUGCAGGCUGUUACUGCUCAGAGAAGCUUCCAAAUGUAGGAGCUUUUCAUUUUCCAAAAGGUUGAUAAGCCAUAGGAUUUUCUUCUUGACGUGACUGCAGUCUCUGUUCAAACAUGAGGCAGCAUUCUGCAUGUUCUUUUGGCCAUAGAUGAAUGGAAUAGAUGGAAGUCAUGGAACCUUUCAGGCCAAAGAGAGUAAAAAGUGUAAAGAUGGUAGAGCAUGACAGCAAAAGAAGCAGUUCAGAUAAACAUCCCAAACUGGAAUAAUUCGUUGCAAAGCAUAGCAAUGGUUGGUAAUGGCGUAAUGCUCAAACCACAGGACUUUUGGAAUUUUUAUUUUCCCAGUAGUUGAAUCUUGAAUCUUUUGGAUCUUGAUACACCUUCUACUGUUGUAGCAUCUGCCUCAUCUCCAUAUAUUUCAAAGAUGCUUCGUAACACUUUGAUUAGGGUGUAUGAAUAAUAAUCGAGCCUCCAACUAUACUACAAGAACUAGCAUAUAAUGCAGGGUAAAGGCUGUGCAUAAGUUGACAAUUUGAAGUCCCAAGAAAAUUAGUGAUUGCUCCAUUGAGAUGGUUUUUGCCACAACAAAACUUUAAUGAUGGUUCCAUUAAUCAUGCAACCCGUCUCAUAACUCCUUUUCAGUGAGAGGGAUAUCAACCAUUAUAUGGUCACACAAUUCCCACUGAAGCUGACAAAGGGAAAUUUAACCAUGUUUGACUUAGAUUUGCUCAAAUUCGGCGACGUUUGGCCUAGAUUCGGCAAGGUUUGGCUCAGAUCUGCUUAAAUCCGGCUGAAUCUUUCUCUCCUCCACUAAGAUCUGGCGAAGAUCUACCACCCUCCACCAUCCACCCACCACCCACCACCACUCCUUCAUCAGUUUCAACCAAACUGACCGAUCAUCUGUCAGAGCCCGAUCAAUCUAUUAAUUUUCUUUUUGGUGUUCGUUUUUCAAAUUCAAUGAGCUUUUGCCUAAAAUUUGUUCCGUCUAGUGAAGCAUC